CCUGGGUACCAGUAAGUUUACAUCUACCAAGGCUACACGCUAAUUACAUUUUCUUUUUUAAUGUUAUCUAUUUAUCAAAUUUAGUUUCUUAAUGGAAAUUAAUAGACUAAGUCUCUGCAGUAAAAAAAAUCAGCUACAACAUAGCAGUUUGAAUAUUUUUUUUUCAGCUUUCAUCUUAUUCAGGCUUUAAGGGCUUUGAGUGUCUGGUUGGUGGUGAAGGCGUAUGAAAUGGGUGAUAUGAUUUAAGAGCAGGAGAUGGUAGGGAAGGAGUUAAUUUUCUCCCUUUUGCCAGAGGAAGGGCCACAGCUGCCUGAACUGAGCAGGGGGAUUUUCAGGGUUGCCAGCUGUGGGGAUUUAAUUGUUUCACCCGCGAGUCUAUAAAGGGGGGUACCACAGGGUAGCUCUAAAUCCUGUUGUGAUUCAGGGAGGAGGAGGUGAUUUGGAGGAUGCCUUGCUGAAGCAUGUGACAAGGAAGAAGAUGGUACUUGUUCACUUAAGAGGCAAACAGAACAUUUGGAAGUGACAUGGCAGUUGGUGGACACCUACAUUUGCUUCUUGGCCAAGGCUUCCAAAGGGAUCACUGACGGCACCUUGCUACACUGCUGUCUCUGGGUUUGGCUGUGGAAAUCUGAAGAUACCUGCAAAAUGUCACCUGCUAGAAAUGAUGGGGACUUUAGAGGGUCCAUCCAACAAGGCUAA
rnacentral:lncRNA from 1 species